UGGUCCUCUCAUCUUGCAAGUUCAUCCUGGUCUCACCCUCACUCUUGAAAAAAGCUCUAUCGUAGCAAAUGAUCUGCAUUUUGUAACUUUGUCAAGUGAAGAAACUCACAAAUCUAUUCUAAAUGGAAAAGAACUGGAAAGAAACUUGUAUCACGAUACCACGCAUAUGUCAUCUCUUAUUGUGGAUCGGAUACAAGGCAGCGUGCAAGUGCGAGGAAUUCUCAAUAAUCACUUGAGAAUCGCUCCCAUCGAAGUUGCAAGCCGGUCCAGCAAUGAGAACACUCCUCAUGAAACCACUACAAUUGCAGAAAGCCCGACA